rnacentral:rRNA from 1 species
UACGAAGGGGGCUAGCGUUGCUCGGAAUCACUGGGCGUAAAGCGCACGUGGGCGGCUUUUUAAGUCAGGGGUGAAAUCCUGGAGCUCAACUCCAGAACUGCCUUUGAUACUGAGAGCUUGAGUCCGGGAGAGGUGAGUGGAACUGCGAGUGUAGAGGUGAAAAUUCGUAGAUAUUCGCAAGAACACCAGUGGCGAAGGCGGCUCACUGGCCCGGUACUGACGCUGAGGUGCGAAAAGCGUGGGGAGCAAACAGG